AUCGCUUCUCGGCCUUUUGGCUAAGAUCAAGUGUAGUAUCUGUUCUUAUCCGUUUAAUAUCUGAUACGUCCCCUACCCGGGGACCAUAUAUUAAAUAGAUUUUUGGAACAGGGAGAUGGAAUAGGGGCUUGCUCCGUCCACUCCACGCAUCGACCUGGUAUUGCAGUAUCUCCAGGAACGGUGCACUUCCU
rnacentral:snRNA from 1 species